rnacentral:rRNA from 1 species
CCUACGGGAGGCAGCAGUGGGGAAUAUUGCACAAUGGGGGAAACCCUGAUGCAGCGACGCCGCGUGAGUGAAGAAGUAAUUCGUUCCGUAAAGCUCUAUCAGCAGGGAAGAACAUGACGGUACCUGAGUAAGAAGCCCCGGCUAACUACGUGCCAGCAGCCGCGGUUAUACGUAGGGGGCAAGCGUUAUCCGGAUUUACUGGGUGUAAAGGGAGCGUAGACGGUGCGCCAAGUCUGGAGUGAAAUGGCGCGGGUUAACUGCGGAAGUGCAGUGGAAACUGGCAGACUUGAGUGCGGGAGGGGUAAGCGGAAUUCCUAGUGUAGCGGUGAAAUGCGUAGAUAUUAGGAGGAACACCGGUGGCGAAGGCGGCUUACUGGACCGUAACUGACGUUGAGGCUCGAAAGCGUGGGGAGCGAACAGGAUUAGAUACCCUAGUAGUC